AUGCAGUCGACGAUGAAGCUCCAGCUUGCUGGAGUGGAUUAGUGGCGAACGGGUGAGUAACACGUGAGCAACCUGCCCCGAACUUCGGGAUAACAGUUGGAAACAGCUGCUAAUACCGAAUACGCACCAGAACGGCAUCGUUACUGGUGGGAAAGAUUUAUCGGUUCGGGAGGGGCUCGCGGCCUAUCAGCUUGUUGGUGAGGUAAUGGCUCACCAAGGCGUCGACGGGUAGCCGGCCUGAGAGGGUGACCGGCCACACUGGGACUGAGACACGGCCCAGACUCCUACGGGAGGCAGCAGUGGGGAAUAUUGCACAAUGGGCGCAAGCCUGAUGCAGCAACGCCGCGUGAGGGACGACGGCCUUCGGGUUGUAAACCUCUUUUAGUAGGGAAGAAGCCUUCGGGUGACGGUACCUGCAGAAAAAGCGCCGGCUAACUACGUGCCAGCAGCCGCGGUAAUACGUAGGGCGCAAGCGUUAUCCGGAAUUAUUGGGCGUAAAGAGCUCGUAGGCGGUUUGUCGCGUCUGCUGUGAAAUCUGGAGGCUCAACCUCCAGCCUGCAGUGGGUACGGGCAGACUAGAGUGCGGUAGGGGAGAUUGGAAUUCCUGGUGUAGCGGUGGAAUGCGCAGAUAUCAGGAGGAACACCGAUGGCGAGGCAGAUCUCU
rnacentral:rRNA from 1 species